CGGAAUGGCAUAAGUUGGCGAAAGCCGCAGAUUUCUGCGUCUCUCGACUAAGCUGGGAUGGUGCCUCCGGGCGGGCAUCAAAUUUUGGUACCGCCAUGCGGAGGUUCGAAUCCUCCCGCCCCAGCCA
rnacentral:tRNA from 2 species